AGCGGGAUAGAGCAGCGGCAGCUCGGGAGCCCCAUAAGCUCCAGGCCGGGGGUUCGAGUCCCUCUCCCGCAACCA
rnacentral:tRNA from 1 species